rnacentral:rRNA from 1 species
AGUGAACGCUGGCGGCAGGCCUAACACAUGCAAGUCGAACGGCAGCACAGGAGAGCUUGCUCUCUGGGUGGCGAGUGGCGGACGGGUGAGGAAAACGUCGGAAUCUGCCUAUUUGUGGGGGAUAACGUAGGGAAACUUACGCUAAUACCGCAUACGACCUACGGGUGAAAGCGGAGGACCUUCGGGCUUCGCGCAGAUAGAUGAGCCGACGUCGGAUUAGCUAGUUGGCGGGGUAAAGGCCCACCAAGGCGACGAUCCGUAGCUGGUCUGAGAGGAUGAUCGGCCACACUGGAACUGAGACACGGCCCAGACUCCUACGGGAGGCAGCAGUGGGGAAUUUUGGACAAUGGGCGCAAGCCUGAUCCAGCCAUGCCGCGUGGGUGAAGAAGGCCUUCGGGUUGUAAAGCCCUUUUGUUGGGAAAGAAAAGCAGCCGGUUAAUACCCGGUUGUCAUGACGGUACCCAAAGAAUAAGCACCGGCUAACUUCGUGCCAGCCGCCGCGGUAACAC